rnacentral:rRNA from 1 species
GUGUAGGGCCAUACCAACCUGAACAUGUCUGAUCUUGGAAGCUAAGCAGGAUCAGGCCUGGUUAGUACUUGGAUGGGAGACCACCUAGGAAUACCAGGUGCUAUAGGCA